GGUAAUUUUCCGCAAUGGGCGAAAGCCUGACGGAGCAAUACCGCGUGAGGGACGAAGGCUUUUGGGUCGUAAACCUCUUUUCCCUGAGAAGAAGAUCUGACGGUAUCAGGGGAAUAAGCAUCGGCUAACUUCGUGCCAGCAGCCGCGGUAAUACGAGGGAUGCAAGCGUUAUCCGGAAUUAUUGGGCGUAAAGCGUCCGCAGGUGGCUCUGUAAGUCUGUCGUUAAAGAAUGGGGCUUAACCCCAUACAGGCGAUGGAAACUACAAGGCUAGAGCUUGGUAGGGGUCACGGGAAUUCCUAGUGUAGCGGUGAAAUGCGUAGAUAUUAGGAGGAACACCAGCGGCGAAAGCGCGUGACUGGGCCAGUACUGACACUCAUGGACGAAAGCUAGGGGAGCGAAAGGGAUUAGAUACCCCUGUAGUCCUAGCCGUAAACGAUGAUAACUAGGUGUUGCCCGUAUCGACCCGGGCAGUGCCGUAGCCAACGCGUUAAGUUAUCCG
rnacentral:rRNA from 1 species